GCGUUACAUUUGGAGGUUCCACCGAGAUUGCUGCAGCCGCCUUCAGGCUCCAACAGACGCUUCUUGGGGUUAAAGGCUCUGGAAGGGAUCCAGUAAUUUGUCUGAAUGGAAGCCGUUGGCCUCCGCUUAUCAACCAGGAGACCUUAAGGUGCCCCACUCAUUCCAAGACUCGGUGCUCGUAAGAAGACACCAGACCCACAGCCUAGAGCCCCGGUGGGAAGGACCCUACGUGGUGCUGCCGACCACCCCGACAGCAGUAAAAGUAGAUGACAUCACGUCUUGGAUCCAUGCCUCCCAUCUCAAGCCUGCGCCGCAGCAGCCGGGACCAGAAUGAACGGUAGAAAAGACUGACAGUAUUAGACACUUGGGAUCUGGGAGCAGUAGAAGACCCCACCAAACUCCCCCUGCUCAUACGAGAUGAUGGGCACCAUCCCAGCGGUGCCCAUACCUCAGGGUGCAGUGAUUCCCGCCAGGGGAAGCAGAAAACCCGCUGUGGAAAGUUACCGGGUUGUAAAAUGGAAAGACCCUGCCCCCUAAAAUGUAUUUAACCUGUGCUCAAACCCUGCUUCGGGGCCCACAACCUCUGCUCUGUGUUCAGAGUAUGUUGUGGGACCGGGCAUGCCUGUACCAAUAAACCCUUUGCUUUUUGC